UACGUAGGGUGCGAGCGUUAAUCGGAAUUACUGGGCGUAGAGCGUGCGCAGGCGGUUCGUUAAGUUCGUUGUGAAAGCCCCGGGCUCAACCUGGGAACUGCAAUGGAAACUGGCGGGCUUGAGUGUGGCAGAGGGGGGUGGAAUUCCGCGUGUAGCAGUGAAAUGCGUAGAGAUGCGGAGGAACACCGAUGGCGAAGGCAGCCCCCUGGGCCAACACUGACGCUCAGGCACGAAAGCGUGGGGAGCAAACAGG
rnacentral:rRNA from 1 species